CUGUGGGCCAUUUCAAAACUGAGCUCUUAAUGAUUCCACACCUAAUUUAUUUUGAGCAGGAAUGAAAUGCCUUGAAUUAUGAAAAUAAUUUCCUUUUACUUUUGGGGACCAUGUUUCAGAGUUCAGUCACUAAAUACAGUAGGUAAAUAAAGAUGCUCAGGAAGUUUAUGUACUAAAAUAUAGAAAUGUACCUGUGUUCUUGGCUGGCCAAAAAUUGAGUUAUAGCUUGCAGUAGCAAUAUUUUGAGAAAAGAAAGGACUAAGAUGUUUAUUCUUUAGUGUGAUAGCUGGUGAGAUGUAUAAAUAGAUGUUUCAGUGGGCAUUCAGGCACACCAAUUUGUUUUUCGGCUCAUCCGUUAUGGAGAGCUUCAGGAAAUCUGCUGGUAUGCUUACGUUGAUAGACUUUUCUGUGAAGAAUAUCAGAAAGAGAGAAAUCCAUUUCGAGUCAACAUGCAUGCUGAGAUGUCAAAAGACACAGUGCACAAAUAGCUCCGCUUUGUGUUUUUUUAUGCAAAGUAUUGGCAAGUAUCUGUGUUCCAGCAUCACUGAUUCAGACAACUUCAUACCAGCUGUCAUCAUCCUUGCUUCAGCAUUCAGUUGAAAAACAAUCAAAGUGAAAAUUACACUAUUCAAAUAAAGUGCUUCAAUCUAUCUUUGAUCUGAUCACUCAGAAUCCCAGUUUAUGAAAGAGAAUUUUACUUGUAUUUCUAAGCAUUUCUUUUAAGUUGAUAUUGUAUUUUUAGAAUAUCGUACUAACCACCCAAAGUAACAUCAUUAAUUAAAUCACAUGAACUAAUUCACGCCAGUUUCCUGGAGACUGCUCACUGGAAUUUAAAGACAAAAAUGAGCAAACAAACACACAAACAAAAAACAACACCUUUCUUCUUCUACAUUAAAUCCCCAGACAACUUUAAAAUAAACUACAACCAGAAUCUUUGUCUUUGCAAAAGUAUAUAUUAUUUAAAUAAAAGAUUGUACAUCUGUAAAUUUCCAAUUAAAUAAUGAGUGAAUAAUAAGACUGAUGAGAUUGUAUUCAAAGACUGAUAAAUCUGAGAAAACUUGUAUGUAUGUACAUGCAUAUAUAGAAAUAGUCUUACAUUUUGUGAAUUAAUUUUGUUCUGAUAAGGGCGUUAUGUAGAAAGAUUGUUAUUGAGGGUUGUGGGAGGUUUUUAUUUCUUUUUUUGUUGUUGUUGUUGUUCAUUUUUUGUUGCUAUUUGAUUUGGUUUUUGUUUUUCUGCCAAAACUGAAAUGGAGAGAUAGAAGAAAUGGAAAUAUGAAACAAAAUUUCAUAAGUAUAAAACAUGAAUUUAUCAACAUUUUCAGGAAAGUCAGGUCUGAGUCAUCUACUCUACCUUACUUCAAAAUGACAGUAUCUACAAGAAAGAGUUUAAUGCGUCAUAUAUUUUUAGUUUAGCCAAAUGUCUUUGCCCUUCUGAACAUCAUUGUUCCUCAUACAGUAACUGUCCUAUCUUCCAAGUAGAGGCUACAUCUUUGAACACCUCUUGGACUUCUAAAAUGAACCUCUACAUCCAUUUUUAACUGCAAUUAUUUGAAGUCUUCUAGAGGUGCUUAACAAACUAUGAGCUUUUGAAUAGCAGGUCAAAAGGAGAAAGUGUUUUCCAAGGAGAUUGGUGUGGGUUUUUGUAUUUCAGAGUACAGUUCAUGGGUGAUAAAUUCUCAAGAACCAAACAUAAUUGAAG
rnacentral:lncRNA from 1 species